NNNNNNNNNNNNNNNNNNNNCUGGCCCCACCCAGGGAUGCAGUCACUUCCCAGCAGUGCCCCGUUCCCUCCCACCAGCUCGGGGAAUCACCAAAUAAGAGCAAAGUCUCAUCUUGGGAGAGCAACGGGGCGGGAACUUGGUGAAGCCUCCAGGAUCAUGGCCUGGGAAUGGCAGAGCCUGCGUUUCCCUGCACUCAGCGGGUGGCUGGAGACAGGCUGGCCAUUGGAGACAUGCGGGGCUGGAGGGGCUGCGGGGAAUAAACCCUGCUCCAGCUGCUGCGUCGGACUUGUGCGUUGUCCCUGUGGGCUGUCCCUCUUGGGGGACAAGGAGAUGAUGGGGCCACGGUGGCCUCGUAAAGCUGCUGGGAAGGAUCCACAGCUCCAUGGAGCUGCCGACCUGGGGCUCUGUCCUGUUCCUCCUUGCCGGAGCAGGGAGCACUUAGCGCUGUCAGCACGUUCAUGUCCCCGCCACGGACACCUGAUGACUUCCAGGUCUUGCACAGCACAGCCUGUCCCCGUGUAUGGCACAGCCAGCCUGCCUUUCCCGAUGCUGCAGCAGGGCUCCUUCGCUGCAACCCUGCUCCAGACCCUUCCCUCGAGGGGCCAGAGGCUUCCUGCCCCCAUACCUGCCGGGACGGGGGGAAACCUGCUCUCCUCACCAAAGCCCGCAGCCUUUCCCCGCCGCUGUGGACCUCUCUCGGUGCCACCGAGCACCCCUGUGUCCCCCGCACAUCCUGCCAAGCCCCACACCGAGCUUGCCCCAUCCCAUAUGGAUCCCAUCAGAUGGGUACAGACCCCGGCACGGACCCUGGAAUGCGGCGCAGCCCUCCCUGGCCAGUCCAGCGUGCCUGCCUCUUGCCAAGACAAAUGAGCCCUUCCGGAGUAUUUCCAAUGUUUUAACAACUUGGGUUUGUUUCUAACUUUGGGCAGGCCCGAAGGGUCAGCAAACAGUGCCAGAGUAUUUCUCAGGACAAACUUCUCAAAACUCCUGCAAGAUGCAGCCUGGCGCUGGCAGGACUCUGGCACCUCGCUGCCCAGAGCUCGGGGGGGCACACAGGCUGGGGACACCCCCUCCUCGCCCCAGGAUC
rnacentral:lncRNA from 1 species